rnacentral:rRNA from 1 species
CCUACGGGAGGCAGCAGUGGGGAAUAUUGGGCAAUGGACGCAAGCCUGACCCAGCAACGCCGCGUGAAGGAAGAAGGCUUUCGGGUUGUAAACUUCUUUUAUCGGGGAAGAGCAGAAGACGGUACCCCUUGAAUAAGCCACGGCUAACUACGUGCCAGCAGCCGGGGUAAAAAGUAGGUGGCAAGCGUUGUCCGGAUUUACUGGGUGGAAAGGGCGUGCAGCCGGAGAGACAAGUCAGAUGUGAAAUCCGCGGGCUCAACCUGCGAACUGCAUUUGAAACUGUUUACCUUGAGUAUCGGAGAGGUAAGCGGAAUUCCUAGUGUAGCGGUGAAAUGCGUAGAUAUUAGGAAGAACACCAGUGGCGAAGGCGGAUGACUGGACAGCAACUGACGCUGAGGCGCGAAAGCGUGGGGAGCAAACAGGAUUAGAUACCCCUGUAGUC